rnacentral:tRNA from 1 species
GGGUCCAUAGCUCAGCCUGGAUAGAGCGCUCGGCUUCGGACCGAGUGGUCGGGGGUUCAAAUCCCUCUGGGCCCA